CCUUAGGAGGAGUAUAACUGUUGGAAACGACUGCUAACACUCCAUAUGUCGAGAGAUGAAAUAAUUUAUUGCCUAAGGAUGAGCUCGCGCCUGAUUAGCUAGUUGGUGAGGUAAUGGCUCACCAAGGCCACGAUCAGUAGCUGGUUUGAGAGAACGAUCAGCCACACUGGGACUGAGACACGGCCCAGACUCCUCCGGGAGGCAGCAGUGAGGAAUUUUCCGCAAUGGGCGAAAGCCUGACGGAGCAAUACCGCGUGAGGGAUGAAGGAUUUUGGUCUGUAAACCUCUUUUCUCAAGAAAGAAGUUCUGACGGUACUUGAGGAAUAAGCAUCGGCUAACUCCGUGCCAGCAGCCGCGGUAAUACGGGGGAUGCAAGCGUUAUCCGGAAUCAUUGGGCGUAAAGCGCCUGUAGGUUGUUUAAUAAGUCUGUUGUUAAAGACUAGGGCUCAACCCUAGGAAAGCAAUGGAAACUACUAGACUUGAGUAUGGCA
rnacentral:rRNA from 1 species